rnacentral:lncRNA from 1 species
AGCUGUUGCUUAGAUGUGUUUCCCCGUAGUGACUAACAUCAUCCAACCCUGCUGCUGUUCCUAAUUAACCGGUCUCAGAAUGUGAAAACUAUGAUUUCUCCUUCCCCAUCUGCCUUAGCAGAACCUUUGCCUUACCCUGAAGGGGAAGGCAAUAUCAGACUCCAGAUGACUUUGUAGUACCCAGCUUCAGAGGUUGUCAGGACCAAAGCAGCUGUGGAAUGUGUCGUAGUUCCUGAUUAGGUACUUCUGAUGUUGGAAGCACGUUCAGACUCCUAAUCUGAAGAAACUCAGGGAAUUUUGCGUUGCUGUGUCAGCGAGAUCCUGCGCUUCAUCACCUGUCCAAGAAGAUAACAGCAAAGCUGAGCAAGGUCAGAGAACUUGAGCCAUCCAAGGAAGGUCCUUGCAGUUCUGCAGAGACAGAGAUGAAGCUGGACCAACAAGCAAGGCAGUCGCUGUAGGUUCGUGCUGAAGAAGACCCAGGAAGGUGCAAGUCAUUGCAUGGGACAUUCACGUCUCACAUCACCACUGGCUGUGUCUGUAUUGGCCUAGUAAAAGAGAAUAAAUUCUAGAACUUUGUAGACA